UACGGGGGGGGCAAGCGUUGUUCGGAAUUACUGGGCGUAAAGGGCGCGUAGGCGGCCUGCUAAGUCGGACGUGAAAUCCCCCGGCUCAACCGGGGAACUGCGUCCGAUACUGGUGGGCUCGAAUCCGGGAGAGGGAUGUGGAAUUCCAGGUGUAGCGGUGAAAUGCGUAGAUAUCUGGAGUAACACCGGUGGCGAAGGCGGCAUCCUGGACCAACACUGACGCUGAGGCGCGAAAGCUAGGGGAGCAAACGGG
rnacentral:rRNA from 1 species